AUGUCCAGCACCUCCUUCCCUCUCCUCACGCGGACCAACUACCCCAGUUGGUCGGUCAUGAUGAAAGUCAUCAUGGAGGCGCGGCAUAUGUGGAAAGCCGUGGAAACCGGCGGUGUCGAGUACGAGGAGGACUGGCUGGCGAUGGAGGCAAUCUUGCGCUCCGUCCCAGAGGAGAUGGUGCUCACCCUUGGCGCCAAGGAGACGGCCAAGGAAGCAUGGGAGACCAUCAAGACUCUGCGCAUUGGCGUGGAGCGCGUACGGGAGCCGAAGGCCCAGACCUUGUGCCUCUAGUAUGAGGAGAUCCGGUUCAAGGCCGGUGAACAAGUCGACGACUUCGCCUUGCGGCUGCAAGGUCUCGUCAACGAGCUCGCAAUGCUCGGAGAUCCCAUCGACAACAAGAUGGUGAUUCUCAAGUUUCUCCGCAUCGUCCCCAGGCAGUACAAGCAACUGGCCUGGUGCAUCGAGAGCUUGGUGGAUCUCUCCACCAUG
rnacentral:rRNA from 1 species